rnacentral:lncRNA from 1 species
AAACAACUGUUAUCAAGUCUGCACUUAAACAAUCUCCGCACUACGUCAUAAAUAGGCCAUGAGGGGUUAAAUUCGUUUUUAUUUUCAGUUUGCAUCAGCUGUAUAGCAUGAUAUGCAUUUCAUCAUAAGUAACAUCUAAAAUAUCAGCCAGAAUAAAUUCAUGAAUAUACAAAUAGACCGAUGAAAUCAUUUCUCAAAUUCAUGUAAAAUCACCGGGGAAAAAGU